rnacentral:rRNA from 1 species
GAUGAACGCUGGCGGCGUGCCUAAUACAUGCAAGUCGAGCGAACAGACGAGGAGCUUGCUCCUCUGACGUUAGCGGCGGACGGGUGAGUAACACGUGGAUAACCUACCUAUAAGACUGGUAUAACUUCGGGAAACCGGAGCUAAUACCGGAUAAUAUAUUGAACCGCAUGGUUCAAUAGUGAAAGACGGUUUUGCUGUCACUUAUAGAUGGAUCCGCGCCGCAUUAGCUAGUUGGUAAGGUAACGGCUUACCAAGGCAACGAUGCGUAGCCGAACUGAGAGGGUGAUCGGCCACACUGGAACGGAGCCACGGUCCAGACUACUACGGGAGGCAGCAGUAGGGAAUCUUACGCAAUGGGCGAAAGCUUGACGGAGCAACGCCGCGUGAGUGAUGAAGGUCUUCGGAUCGUAAAACUCUGUUAUUAGGGAAGAACAAAUGUGUAAGUAACUAUGCACGUCUUGACGGUAACUAAUCAGAAAGCCACGGCUAACUACGUG